AUUGAACGCUGGCGGCAGGCCUAACACAUGCAAGUCGAACGAGUGGCGGACGGGUGAGUAAUGUCUGGGAAACUGCCUGAUGGAGGGGGAUAACUACUGGAAACGGUAGCUAAUACCGCAUACCAUCAGAUGUGCCCAUAUGGGAUUAGCUUGUUGGUGGGGUAAAGGCUCACCAAGGCGACGAUCCCUAGCUGGUCUGAGAGGAGGACCAGCCACACUGGAACUGAGACACGGCCCAGACUCCUACGGGAGGCAGCAGUGGGGAAUCUUGCACAAUGGGCGAAAGCAUGAUGCAGCCAUGCCGCGUGUAUGAAGAAGGCCUUCGGGUUGUAAAGUACUUUUGGCGGAGAGGCGUUAUCCGCAGAAGAAGCACCGGCUAACUCCGUGCCAGCAGCCGCGGUAAUUC
rnacentral:rRNA from 1 species